rnacentral:rRNA from 1 species
UUAUAAGAGACAGCAGUAGCCGCGGUAAUACGUAGGGUGCGAGCGUUAAUCGGAAUUACUGGGCGUAAAGCGUGCGCAGGCGGUUCGUUAAGACAGAUGUGAAAUCCCCGGGCUUAACCUGGGAACUGCAUUUGUGACUGGCGAGCUAGAGUAUGGCAGAGGGGGGUAGAAUUCCACGUGUAGCAGUGAAAUGCGUAGAGAUGUGGAGGAAUAUCGAUGGCGAAGGCAGCCCCCUGGGCCAAUACUGACGCUCAUGCACGAAAGCGUGGGGAGCAAACAGGAUUAGAUACCCGUGUAGUCCCUGUCUCUUAUAC